AGAGCCCUUAAUUUCACAACACUUUCAAAACAGUGAGCAAACCUAUCUGAGAGAGAAAAGAUAGAGGGUUUGAAGAGAGACUGGGGUUGAAGGGGAAGGGUUUCAAUCGGCGGCGAGACUGGUUCAACAGCGGGAAGACUAGUUCGGCGGCGAGACGGUACGCUUCUUUUGACUCUUUUUUCGACUCUCUCAUUCCAGUCGGUUCCUCUAUACCUCUAUGUUGCCCCCACCGCCAUAGCCAUAGCAGCUUAUUAGUGGUGGUGGUUGUUUUCUGCGAGCAUUGGUAAUGUCGCAGAAGCGGCAGCAAGAGGACUCCAAGGGUAGUUCGGAGGGCAAUGGGUCCGGUGAAAAGCAUCGCAAACAUCCUUCUUUCAGAAGGUGGAAAAUUUUGAGAAAAUGUUCAGUCUAUUGCAAACUGGAUGAAUGAGUUCCAGUCGAUGAAGCUUAAUAUUGUUAGAAUUGGGGUGGAACAAGAGGACAAUUCUGUGAAGAAAGCACUUCAAAGCCAUCUUCACCAAACCUCAAGAGCUCAGGCACUAGGAAAGAGGUAAUUAAACACAGAAUUUGCUAUUACAAUGACACGAAACCAUCUUCACUAAUCCUCAAAAUGCACUUGAAAGUUUGGCCUUUGUAACUUGGCUUUUAGUUUCAUGCAACAUAUAUAUUUUUUCUUCUCUAGCUUGUU